GACGAACCGGACAAACGGUAUUCGGAAUUAUUGGGCUUAAAGGGUGCGUAGGCGGCGCGAAAAGUUGGGUGUGAAAUCCCUCGGCUCAACCGAGGAACUGCGCUCAAAACUGUCGUGCUAGAGUGAGACAGAGGUACGCGGAACUUAGGGUGGAGCGGUGAAAUGCGUUGAUAUCCUAAGGAACACCGGUGGCGAAGGCGGCGUACUGGGUCUUUGCUGACGCUGAGGCACGAAAGCUAGGGUAGCGAACGGG
rnacentral:rRNA from 1 species